GAUGAACGCUAGCGGCAGGCUUAACACAUGCAAGUCGAGGGGCAGCACGGGUAGCAAUACCUGGUGGCGACCGGCAAACGGGUGCGGAACACGUACAGAAUCUACCUUUAUCUGGGGCAUAGCCCGGAGAAAUCCGGAUUAACUCCCCAUAAUAUAAAUGAGUGGCAUCACUUGCUUAUUAAAAAUUCAUUGGAUAGAGAUGACUGUGCGUCCCAUUAGCUAGNGGUAGGGUAACGGCCUACCAAGGCGACGAUGGGUAGCUGGUGUGAGAGCACGACCAGCCACACGGGCACUGAGACACGGGCCCGACUCCUACGGGAGGCAGCAGUGAGGAAUAUUGGUCAAUGGACGCAAGUCUGAACCAGCCAUGCCGCGUGAAGGAUGAAGGCCUUCUGGGUUGU
rnacentral:rRNA from 1 species